AUGCGCACCACAGCGCGCGCACUGCCGCGCUGCCUCCUCCCCCUCCUCUUCGCCGGCUUCUUCUUCCUGCUACGCUCCCCGUUACCCGUCCUCGCCGCUGGGGACGUCGCCCUCGUCAUCGACAAGCUGAAGCCGGCGCUGCAGGGCGCGGCGGCCGCCAACGCGCAGCUCGCCACCUGGAACGCCUCCACGCCGCUCUGCCUCUGGCGCGGCCUCCGCUGGGCCACGCCCGCGGGCCGGCCGCUCCGCUGCGACGCCCCCGGCGCGCGGGCCAACCUCUCGCUCGCCGGGGACGCCGCUCUGCUCCUCACCUCCAUUCGCCUCCCCGCCGCCGCGCUCGCCGGCCGCCUCCCGCAGGAGCUCGGCGCCUUCGCGGCACUCGAGACCGUCUACCUCGCCGCCAACUCGCUCUCCGGCGCCAUCCCGCUCGAGCUCGGCAACGCGCCCGCGCUGGCCGAGCUCGACCUCGCCGGCAACGCCCUCUCCGGCGCGCUCCCGCCCUCCAUCUGGAACCUCUGCGACCGCCUCGCCGAGCUCCGCCUCCAUGGUAACGCUCUCACCGGAGCGAUUCCCGCGCCGGCGGGGCCUAACGAUACGUGCGACCGUCUCCGGAUUCUUGACCUCGGCGCCAACCGCUUCUCCGGCGACUUCCCGGCGUUCCUGACGGGCUUCCGUGGCCUCCAGCGCCUCGACCUCGGCGGCAACCGCCUCGAGGGACCCAUACCGGAGUCCCUCGCCGCGAUGAGAGGCCUCCAGAUGCUCAACCUCUCCUUCACCGCGGAGUCGUUCCUCGGAAACAGCCCGGCGCUGUGCGGCCCGCCGUUACAGCAGCCGUGCGUGUCCCCUUCGGGCCUCAGCUCCGGCAGCGUCGCGGGGAUGGUCAUCGGCCUGAUGGCCGGCGCCGUCGUGCUGGCGUCGGUGUGCAUCGGGUGGGCGCAGGGGAGGUGGAGGAGGAACAGGGUGAGGCGAGCGGCGGAGGAGGGGGUGGAGACGGAGGAAGGCGGCGAGGGGAAGCUGGUGGUGUUCCAGGGCGGGGAGCACCUCACGCUGGAGGAGGUGCUGAAUGCGACGGGGCAGGUGGUGGAGAAAGCGAACUAUUGCACGGUGUACAAGGCGAAGCUGGCGGACGCCGGCGGCAGCAUCGAGCUCCGGCUGCUGCGCGAGGGGAGCUGCAAGGACGCGGCGUCGUGCGGGCCGGCCGUGCGGCGCAUCGGGCGCGCGCGGCACGAGAACCUGGUGCCGCUCCGGGCAUUCUACCAGGGCCGGCGCGGCGAGAAGCUUCUCAGCAGGCCGGCGCUGACUUGGCCGCGGCGGCACAAGAUCGCGCUGGGCGCGGCGCGCGCGCUGGCGUACCUGCACGAGAGCCGACACGGGGACGCGCCGGUGGUGCACGGCAACGUGCGGUCGUCGAACGUGCUGGUGGACGAGUACUUCGUGGCGAGGGUGACCGAGUACGCGGUGGUGGGCAGGCUGCUGGUGCCGUCGGCGGCGGAGGCCGUGCUGUCGGCGGCGAGGGCGGACGGGUACUGCGCGCCGGAGCUGCAGACGAUGAAGCGGUGCGCGCCCCGGACGGACGUGUACGCGUUCGGGAUACUGCUGCUGGAGCUGCUGAUGGGGAGGAAGCCCUCCCCGGCGGCGAACGGGGGCGACGGCCUGCCGGCGCUGGUGAAGGCGGCGGUGCUGGAGGAGACGGCCGUGGAGGUGUUCGACCCGGAGGUGGCGAAGGGCGUGCGGAGCCCCGCGGAGGAGGGCCUGGUGCAGGCGCUGAAGCUGGCGAUGGGCUGCUGCGCGCCGGUGGCGGCGGCGAGGCCGAGCAUGGCGGAGGUGGCGCGGCAGCUCGAGGAGAGCCGGCCCAAGGCCAGCCGGUCGGCGCUGUACAGCCCCGCCGAGACGAGGAGCGAGGCCGGCACGCCGACGACCGCUGCGUAG
rnacentral:rRNA from 1 species